ACUCCUACGGAGCAGGCAGUGGGUAGGUAAUUCAUCAAUGGGGAAACCCGGUAGCAUGCAGCCAUGCCGCGUGUGUGAAGAAGGCCUUCGGGUUGUAAAGCACUUUCAGUAGGGAGGAAGGUAGUGUAGUUAACACCUGCAUUAUUUGACGUUACCUACAGAAGAAGCACCGGCUAACUCCGUGCCAGCAGCCGCGGUAAUACGGAGGGUGCGAGCGUUAAUCGGAAUUACUGGGCGUAAAGCGCAUGCAGGCGGCCUGUUAAGUCAGAUGUGAAAGCCCGGGCUU
rnacentral:rRNA from 1 species